rnacentral:lncRNA from 1 species
CCAAGGUCGAGUAACCUUAACUUAAACACAAUUCAUAAACUAUUUAUUACAUAACAAUAUUUAUCACAAUACGCUAUUACAAACUAGCUGCACUUUAUAACCCAAGCUGAUCUUGGCUUUAAUCGUUUCCUGUAUUCGAACGCAUUUGCCUUAUCUGCAAUGUUUUAUCAUGAUAUAGCAAGGGUGAGCAUGAAAGUUGCCCAACAAGUUUAAAUACAACAAUUUAAGGAUAUAUCAUGAUUGAAGAGUAUGAAUAAUAAACUGGCUAUAAUUCAUCAAUAUAAUUGAGAACUAGCACGAACAAACUUUUGACUGAACAAGUUUUAAACAUGAACAAACAUUUCUAGACAACCCGGUAAUGAAGGUGAUCAGCCUUUCAUACCUGACUUAUACAUGCAAGAUGUACAGAGUACAAUUUUCAUGGCAAUCAGCAAUGAUUAACCAUAAGCUUGAAUAAAACACUCUUAGUAGAGUUAAGUAAGAACAAACUUGUCUGAAC